UAGGGAAUCUUCGGCAAUGGGGGGAACCCUGACCGAGCAACGCCGCGUGAGUGAAGAAGGUUUUCGGAUCGUAAAACUCUGUUGUUAGAGAAGAACAGCGCAUAGAGUAACUGUUAUGCGUGUGACGGUAUCUAACCAGAAAGCCACGGCUAACUACGUGCCAGCAGCCGCGGUAAUACGUAGGUGGCAAGCGUUGUCCGGAUUUAUUGGGCGUAAAGCGAGCGCAGGCGGUCAAUUAAGUCUGAUGUGAAAGCCCCCGGCUCAACCGGGGAGGGUCAUUGGAAACUGGUUGACUUGAGUGCAGAAGAGGAGAGUGGAAUUCCAGGUGUAGCGGUGAAAUGCGUAGAUAUAUGGAGGAACACCAGUGGCGAAGGCGACUCUCUGGUCUGUAACUGACGCUGAGGCUCGAAAGCGUGGGUAGCAAACAGG
rnacentral:rRNA from 1 species